UGCCCUGGCUCUGCAGCAGUGA
rnacentral:misc_RNA from 1 species